rnacentral:misc_RNA from 1 species
UAUUUUUUUGAAGACAUAUCCCCAUGGUCCCUAAUAAUCUUCCGAACAUGUUCCGGAGGCAUGUCCUCCUUUUGCGUCUCCACAAAUCCAAACUUCCGCUUAUCACUAUACCGCUUAGAGUUAAGCUGCAUCCAUUUCCUAGCUUUCUCUUCAAGCUGAGCUUCAGUCGGCAAAACAGUAUAAGAUGGAGGUGGUAAAGGCGGUCCAGCACCACUAGCUCCUCCACCACUUGUUCCAGGAGGCAUCAUAGGCUGUACUGAACUCGUACCAGGUGGCGGAGGCAUCAUAGGUGGCUGCAUCAUCGACGGCGGCGGCGGUGGUCCUCCGCUAGUACCUGGUGGUGCUAUGUUACUAUUGUUCCACAUAUCUUGUCCGUUUCCACUCCACAUAACUUCGUUAGAAGUCAAAAUCUCAACCUACAUAAGAGCGAAGAAGUACAAAAACCCUAACUGAACUACAAAACCUCGAUAAUCGUUUGGACGUAAAUGUCUCCAGAGAUUUGCGAAUUGAAUUGUCACCGGAGACCGACGGUGGUCCUGUGGCCGUGAAAAAUGGAUUCACGGAGGAGGCGACGGAGCGGUAGUAGAAGUGAAG